GCCGGGCGUGGUGACGCGCACCUGUAAUCCCAGCUACUUGGGAAGCUGAGACAUGAGAAUCACUCGAACCCAGGAGGCACAGGCUACAGUGAGCCGAGAUGGCACCACUGCACUCCAGCCUGGGUGACAGAGUGAGACCCUGUCUCAA
rnacentral:SRP_RNA from 1 species